UGGCGGAAGGGAGAAGGGGUUAAAGUGCAUCUGAUCAUUCUGGGGAAGAACGGAGAGGCUAUUGUGCCCAGUUUCUCCUAGCUUGGACUGGGAAAGCUCUUAAAUGCACGAAGAAGGGCUAAAAAAGAAGGGCUAAAAAAGAAUCUAGAAGUUACACUCUUGCGCAAAGCACGGCUGGAAAAUGCGACCGCGACUUGCAACUGUUUUUUUGUCAAGCGGAAUUUCCAUUCAGCCCAGUGGAAAUUGUGUAAAACCAAGAACCAGCACGAGGGCAGAAUGACACCUAAUUUUGAGAGAGGUAGCUAAAUUGUGUAAGACUACUGAGGGAAAGCUGCUAUAAAAGGCAAUUAUUGCACCACCUCACAUAGACAGGAAAAGCACACCAAAUAGUUGGAUGCUUCAUAAAUGGGCUUUGGAUUGUAGAAGGAAAGGUAGUGUGAUGUUCUCCUCUUCUCUCAUCAUCUUUAACCUGCUUGAACAAAAUGAUU